AAAGCAGAAAAUGAAAAACACUGCUGCUCACUGUACUUGGUCUGCAGCUAAGAGAAACUUUUGUGGUAGACAGACAUAAAGUUAGCUUGUAACUGAGCUGCUCCAAAAAACUGAAAUUCAAAAUCCAGAGGGCAAUAUAGCAAAUGCUACUUUUUAAUGUGCAAAGUCGGAAGCUCUUGGUAUUCUGCAGAACAGAAUAAGCAUGGUAAUUUCUAAAAAGAUUUUAUUGCAAUUGCACACACACUGCUCCUGUUUUCCAAUGAGAAAAUGACAGAAGAUGGUAUUUUGAAAUCUUCCUUCCCCACUUGUUUAUUCUGUGUGUGCUGUUUUCAGUUAAAAUCGGUUGGAAAUUUGAACUUUUCUGCCUACAGGUGUUGGGUAAGGAUAGUCAAAAAACUGCUAGAAAUUGCUACAGGUAUAAUGAGAGGAGAUUUGGAUGAUUCUAGAAAGAAAGUUGUCCCAUCUAGCUAUGCUUCUAUUCCUUAUCACAUCGGAAAAGUUGGCCUUUUUUUGUUUUGGGCAGAGAAAUUCAGAAAUCUCUCUUUAAACAGGGAACAGAGGCAUGAGCAAAAGCUCCUAGUGUCCUGAGAGGGUGAACUGCUGAGGACAAGAAAACCAAGGGGAGACCUUGAAGGCAAAAUCAGGAUGGGAAAAGUGCUUUGUCCCUGCAGCAGAAGUGGCUGUACAGUGUGAUUUUUCAAGCUGUGCCGGAAAGCUGUUUGGACAAAUACACUAACAUUGUGGGGGCAACUUCACCCUGCCAAAAACCUCCUCUCUUACUGAAAUUGUUGGACUCAAUAUAGCUGCCACAUAACCAGAGGAAUUUUGAUGGUUUCACCUCUGAACUAAGAAGCAACCUGAGUGGUGAGCUGUACCUCACACAGAAAGAGCAGAUCAUCCCAAGGAGAGAGGAUGGGCUGUAACUGUGAUGUCCUCAUGCUGGACCUUUACCAGUACAGGCUCACGGCCAUUAACCAGCAGCACUAGGGCACAGCCAAGUGCUGACAGAUCAGAUGGAGGCAGUCCUGAUGAGGAGUGCACAGUCCCCUCACACCCCAGCAGGGCAGUGGAGGAAACCUGGGAGUUAUUGGUGCACACAAACAGCCUACGGGAGAAGACCAAACCAUGAAUCUGCUCCCACAGCACAGAAACCUUGGAAUGAGGUUGUCCUCCCAGAGAUGUUGUUUUACCAAUUGAAGAACUCAUAAAGGACAAGUCAAUUACGAACUGUAUUCCCAAGACAGCGACAGAAUCCAUUAGGGCUGGUCCACUAACCACAUCCUGCUAUCCUCCCAUCUGCUAUCCAGACUGCCUGGAGACUCACCUCCCCACCAGGUGGUAAAGAUGGUGCCCGUCAGCUUGUGCCCUGCAUGGAUGGCUUCCAAAGUGUGGUAGUGCUUAAAUGCAGGUCUCAGCCUGCAAACAUGAGUUCAGAUUCAGACAUCAAGUUUUAGAUACUGCAUCCCCUGGCUUAGUAGGAUACAUCUGUGGGAGCAUGCUUCUAUAAAUCCUCAAGGGACACACUGUGGGAGUCCUUCCAGGAUCUGACCUUCAGAUAUUGUCAGAGGUGAUGAAGAAUUCACGCCAAACAAAGAUCUUUGCCAUUUCUUCUGAACGCAUUACUCAUCCUCUAUGACUGCACACCUUCCCAAUGCCCACUAGAGAAGCUAAAUGAAAUAUUUCCUCUCACUCGAAUACAUGGCCCCAGAUGCAGGGCUGCCUGUUGGGGGCGCGGGAUGGCUGCCAGGCCAUCUGGCGUGUGCCUGUCCUGGAGAGGGCUCUGUAGCUCUUUGGCUCGCACCGCAAAGGUCUCUGGCAGCCAGGUGGGCCUGAUGGCUCUCCUCCCACAAUGUCAGCAUGGGAUAGGUCAGAAACAAUGAGUAGAAACUGAAGAUUGCAGGAUGUCAGGUUGAUACUUCAGGAUUUCAGGAUGCAAAGUGAGGACUGUUGGCUACAUUCAUUUGCACAUUUUAUUUUAUUUUUUUUUUAAUUUAUAGACACACAUAUAUAAAAAUUAGUAUGUAUGCUGCCUAAAUCUUCAGCUUCCUACUCAUCUUCCCAGCUGUCUUCGCACACCAUAACUUCUAGUGCUUCCAAUUGGCAUACUGCAAAAAGCAGCACCACUGCGUUCCCUUUCAUUCACACUGUAUUUAUCCUCCACCCUCUGGAUAUUUUUCUACCAGUGCCUGCUCAGACAAGCCCAUCUCAGAAUUGGCCAGACUUUGACCAUAGCUUUUUAGCAAUUAAAACUUGUGUGGCUCAGGGGCAACCUUAUCGCACUCCACAGAUACCUUAAAGUGAGGUGGGAGUUGUUAUAUUCUCCCUCAUGCCUGGUGAAAGGACGAGGGGGAAUGGGAUAAAUUUAUGCCAGGGGAGGUUUAGGUUGGA